AGGGAAUUCCUUGGUGCACCCACUCAUGUUCUGUAGACUUCUCUUCUUAUCAAUAAUAUGAUAAUCCCCAUGCCUCUUCAGUGCACAUUUGUUUCUUCCCCAUCCAAGCAAGCAGGAAGCAGCCCUUCCCUUUCCUCAUCCCACGGCAGAGGCAGACUCAACCUAACCAACCUCCCUCAUCCCCAUUCAUCAGUCAUCACACUCACUGCCUCUGCUUCAAGUUUUUCUCUACUCUCGAGACAAGACUACCGCAGCAGAGCAGAGCAAGAACGCCACACCGCCUCAAGUUGACACAACUCUUCAGGUAUUUAGUGCUGAGUACGCCUGUGGUGUUAAAUAAGGUACUAAUUGCUGUAAUUUUUUAUGUAGUUAUUAAUGAAGCUAAAUUUUUGCAUCAUGUUGCUCUCCUCUGUCUUUUUUAUUGCCAUGAAAAGAUUCUUCCCGUACAAACCAAAUACAUAAGCAGUUUGCUCUAAAUCAUUCCAUGUUGUAUGAUGAUAACUCGACGAGUCUUCCCAUAUAGUUGAAUCAGAUCCCCUGCACUCCCACAAAGGAGUGGAGCUAGAGCAUUUUUAAAAACGGGACUAAAUAGAAAGAAAUACUAAAUAAUUAAAAACAAUAAAAUCCAUAUGAUUGAAUGGAAUCAUGAAAAGAGCCUUUUUCACUCUCUGCAUGCAAGAAUGGAAGAGAAAAUAAUUUUUCAAACUCAAAUGAUUUGUUUCUUUACUUUAUGUGUUCUAAUUUUCUUUUAUUUUCUAUUUGUCUUUUAACUUGUUAAUUAACAUAUUAAGUUAUUAAAUUGAACUAUUGAGAUAAAAUAUUUUAUGAUAGACUAUUAAGUUAAACAACUAAGAUAUAAUAUGUUAUGAUAGACUUAGAUUUAUAUUAAAACUUAAUGAGCUUGGAUUACUAGACUCACUUUUUUUAAAAAAAUUUGAUAAGCUUAACUUAUUAAUUUAUAAUUUAUUUGUUGGGCUUAACUGACAAUAUGCUAACCAUAAUGACUCUAAUUUUAUCAAAUAGUUUGAGUAAUGAAAAUAAUUAUUAUAUAAAAAACUAUUUCCCAAGCCAUUAAAAAUAUAUAAAAAAUAAAAUUAUAUUAAAAAAAAUAUAAUUAUUUCAUUUUAUCAAUUUGUAUAUAUAUCAUUGUUACUUAAAUUUUACAACAUACAUGCUAGAACACAUUGAUUAUUUUUAAUAAAAAAAUGAUAUAUUGAUUAAAUUCUAAAAAACAAUGCAACAAUGCAACUUAUACUUGAAAAUUAUAUAAUAAUUUAUUUAUUUUUAAAAAUUAAAAUCAUAUAAAAUAAAAUCUAUAUAACAGAAAAAAAAAAGAAUAUGACAAAUAGAACAUAAAAUGUAUAUUUGACAUAAUAAAAAAAAAAUAUGAUUGAUGGUUCAUAAAAAUUUGUGAAAGAAAAUCUGUAAAGAUUUAAAAUAUAUGAAUAAAUAAAUAUAAAUAAUAAUAUAAAUUAAAAAAAUAAAAAAAUAAAAACUUGAAAAUUGAAUCAAGCAUAUGAAAUUAUUUUGUUAUUUUUUACUUGUAUUAAUUAUUAAACCAAAAAUGAUUUUGGGGGAGCCAUUAGAAAAUUUAUAAAAAAAUUUAAAAACUUUAUAUAAUAUGUAAACAAAAUUUUUAAUUUUGGCCCCCAUCCCAUAAGGAGGCACCGCCCCUGCUCCUACUCAUUAUGAAGAAUGAGCUUAAAAGUAUAUACUUUCCUCUUAACUGAUGUACAUUGAAUGCAAAGAAAGUUGCACCUUGUCUGCCCCAAAUCAAGGUAAAUCCUUCACAUCAACAGUCUUGGUUGCAUUUAUGUUGUUAACUUCUAGCUAGAACCCCUCUUUACAGAACCAAGGAGGUUGAGGAGCUACAAACCUCCCUCAUUUGGGGAAUGUCUUCCACUAGCUUGCCCAUACUUCGCUCUUUAAUUUUUUCCAGCAACUGGCUGGCUGUCUUGGCCUUACUACUAGGUUGAGGCUCUGACAUCAAAAUGUAAACCCUGUCAAAAAUUAGUAUUUCUGGUGUUCCACUGACACGGAGGAUAUAUAUGCUCCCCAGGGGAAAUGUCUCUACAAUUUUCUGCAUGACUCUAGUUAAGGUUUGGCCUCAUAUACACCAUUUGUUUAUUAAAAAUCACAGUUUCAAGGAGCUUUUUACAAAUGAAAAGUCAUUUAGUACAAUCAGCAUUUAUUUCUUUGUUUUUCUACUUGAGGGGAACAUAUUUGAAAAUUGAAUUUAGAGCCUCCAUUUGAGAGGAAAGGAUGCCUACCAUUGAGGCACUGUCUUAACUAUCUUCUGUCAAUAUGCAGUACCACAUACAGUGAAGUAAUAAACACAACAUAAAUUGUAACUGCAAAUGAAGCUCUCUAACAACAGUAUGAUACAUUAACUACCCAUGAACUUUGUACAGAAUAUGGUUGAAGAAGUUCACUACUAGUUGUGACAGGUUGAAAAUUAUCAAUCAGACACACAUAAAAUAUCUUUAAUUUAAUACACUAUCAGACAGUGAUGAAAUAUAUGAUCCCUUAUGAUUCACUAUUCAUGGUAGUGGCUGAUGAAAAUAAUGCUAUUUGUGAGGAGUUUUGGGGCGAUCUUGGAGGAGAAAACAGGAAAGGUCUGGGUGGAAUUGCUAGAGAUUGAAGGCUUCCUUGUAACAUCUCCAGCACCUUUGUCAUUGAUGGUCGAUCCGCUGGAUUAGUUUGAAUGCACCACAAGCUCACUACAAUCAUCUUCUUGGUUAUUUCUUCCUCUUCAACUGUGAUUCCUUGACGAUUGAAAUAUGCUUCUUGUUGGAGAUGCUCAUAAAUCCAUAAAGGAAAAUUCAUUUCACUGGUUACAGACGGUCCAUUAUGAACAUUUUCCUUUGCUCCAACCAUUUCAAGGACCAUCAUCCCAUAGCUAUAAACAUCGGACUUGUAAGAGACUCCUCCAAAGUUUCGACAAAACAGUUCUGGAGCAAUAUAUCCGAUUGUUCCUCUAGCACUUAUCAUAGAAAGAAUGCUCUCCUUCCUCUCACAUAAUUUAGCAAGACCAAAAUCUGAAAUCUUGGGACAGAAACUCUCAUCUAGGAGGAUAUUAUGAGGUUUUAUGUCCAAGUGCAAAAUCCUCGUGUUACAACCUCCAUGUAAAUAUUCCAGUCCUCUAGCAAUGCCAAUUGCAAUUUCAAACAAUGUUUUAUGCUCUAGUAGAUGACUUUUAUCUGGGGAUCCUUCACGAUAGAUGAACUUAUCCAAUGAUCCAUUGGGCAUGAAUUCAUAGAUUAGAGCUCUCACUGACCACUCAUAACAGAAACCAAGAAAAGUCACUACAUUGACAUGAGAGGUUCUACUUAUACUAGCCACUUCAUUGAUAAAUUCCUCUCCAUCCCCCUUUGAUUCACUAAGGACUUUCACUGCAACAAGACGACCAUCAUUUAAUUUACCUUUGUAGACACUGCCAAAUCCCCCUUCUCCAAGCCUAUCUUUGAAGGACUUGGUUAUUUUCCUGAUGUCUGAAAAAGAAUAUCGUUUCGGAGCAAGAUCAGAACCAUACUUCAUUAUGAAUGCCUCAAUCCUUUCACUGUUCUUUUUACCUUGCUGGAAAUUCAUCAGUAUUCCACUUGAGAUUAACAAUGAUGAUCUCUUAUGCCUCAAGGUAAACACCACAACACAAACUACCACAAUAGCAGC
rnacentral:lncRNA from 1 species